UGAGGAAUAUUGGUCAAUGGGCGAGAGCCUGAACCAGCCAAGUAGCGUGCAGGAUGACGGCCCUAUGGGUUGUAAACUGCUUUUAUGUGGGGAUAAAGUGCGUGACGUGUCAUGCAUUGCAGGUACCACAUGAAUAAGGACCGGCUAAUUCCGUGCCAGCAGCCGCGGUAAUACGGAAGGUCCGGGCGUUAUCCGGAUUUAUUGGGUUUAAAGGGAGUGUAGGCUGUCUAUUAAGCGUGUUGUGAAAUAUACCGGCUCAACCGGUGGCUUGCAGCGCGAACUGGUCGACUUGAGUAUGCAGGAAGUAGGCGGAAUUCAUGGUGUAGGGGUGAAAUGCUUAGAUAUCAUGACGAACUCCGAUUGCGCAGGCAGCUUACUGUAGCAUAACUGACGCUGAUGCUCGAAAGUGCGGGUAUCAAACAGG
rnacentral:rRNA from 1 species